AAUAUUGCGCAAUGGAGGGAACUCUGACGCAGCGACGCCGCGUGAGCGAUGAAGGUCUUCGGAUCGUAAAGCUCUGUCCUUGGGGAAGAAGAUCUUCGGAUUUGACGGGACCCAAGGAGGAAGCCCCGGCUAACUACGGGCCAGCAGCCGCGGUACAACGUAGGGGGCAAGCGUUGUCCGGGAUUAUUGGGCGUAAAGGGGGCGGAGGGGGCCUUUUAAGUCAGAUGUGAAAGACCACGGCUUAACCGUGGGGUUGCAUUUGAAACUGGAGGGCUUGAGUAUCGGAGAGGGUAGUGGAAUUCCCAGUGUAGCGGUGGAAUGCGUAGAUAUUGGGAGGAACACCAGUGGCGAAGGCGACUACCUGGACGAAAACUGACGCUGGUGCACGAAAGCUAGGGGAGCAAACA
rnacentral:rRNA from 1 species